rnacentral:rRNA from 1 species
AUUAAAUUUUAUUUAUUAAAUUAAUUUUUUUUUAUUUAAAUUAUUAAAAAUAAUUAUAUAAUUUAUUGUUUUAGUAUUAUUUAAAGAAUAAAUAAUUUUUAUAAUAGUUUAUUAGUAUUGUAAAAGAAAAUUGAAAUAAUUUGAAAAAUUUUUAUUAUAAAAGAAAAUUUUAUAAAUUGUACCUUUUGUAUCAGGGUUUAUCAAAUAAAUAAUAAAUAUUUAUUUUUCUCGAUUUUAAAAGAGUUAAUUAAUUUUAAAAGUUAAUGUGAUAAAAUUAUUUUUAAAAAUUAAUUAGAAAUGAAAUGUUAUUCGUUUUUAAAGGUAUCUAGUUUUUUAAGAAAUGAAUUUAAUUCAGAAAUUUUAAAUUAUUUAAUUUAUUUUUAAAUUAAAUAAUUUUUUAAUUUUAAUAUCUUAUGGGAUGAGCUAUAAAAUAUUUUUAAAAAAUUUUAAAUAAAUAUUUAAUAAAUGUAAGCUUAGAAUUAGCUAUCAUUAAUAAAUUUGUUAUAAUUUAUUUUAUUUUUUAUAUUAUUUAAUUUAUUUUUAUUUUUUAUUAAAAUAUUAAUUUUAAUUUUUAAAAUUAAGAAAUAAUGAUAAAAUUAGUAUAUAAUUAUUGUAAAGAUAUUUUUUUAUGAAAAGUUUUUAUAAAGAACUCGGCAAAAUAAAAUAUUCGCCUGUUUAACAAAAACAUGUCUUUUUGAAUUUUUUAAAAAGUCUGACCUGCCCAAUGAAUUUUUUAAUGGCCGCAGUAUUUUGACUGUGCAAAGGUAGCAUAAUCAUUAGUUUUUUAAUUGAAGGCUGGAAUGAAUGGUUGGACGAGAUAUUAACUGUUUCAUAAAAAUUUAUAAUAGAAUUUUAUUUUUUAGUCAAAAAGCUAAAAUAAAUUUAAAAGACGAGAAGACCCUAUAAAUCUUUAUAUUUUUAAUAUUUAAUUUAUUUAGAUAAAUUUAAUUUUUAUAUUUAAAAAUAUUUUAUUGGGGUGAUAUUAAAAUUUAAAAAACUUUUAAUUUUUUUAAAUACAUUAAUUAAUGAAUUUAUGAUCCGUUAAUAACGAUUAAAAAUUUAAGUUACUUUAGGGAUAACAGCGUAAUUUUUUUGGAGAGUUCAUAUCGAUAAAAAAGAUUGCGACCUCGAUGUUGGAUUAAGAUAUAGUUUUAGGUGUAGAAGUUUAAAAUUUAAGUCUGUUCGACUUUAUAUUCUUACAUGAUCUGAGUUCAAACCGGCGUAAGCCAGGUUGGUUUCUAUCUUUAAAAAAUUAAUAUAUUUUAGUACGAAAGGAUUGAAUAUAUAAAUAAUUAUAUUUUUAAAAAGAAUUUCAUUAAUAUA